CAGGUCCCUUAAUCAAUGACAAAAUGCUCCUUCUGUCUGAAUAUCAGGUCUACCCUUUAGUAAAAAUUUACUCAACAACCACAACCAGUAAAUAUUAGUUUCUUCAUAACUCCCUAAACUUGAUUGAGCAAUAUUUCCCUGAGUUUCCCAUUUACCACGAUCUCCCUGCCUACUGUUGGCUUGAUAUUACUCUUUGGGCUUUUGUUUGCUUCUCUGUAAACAGAGAGUCCAACGGUGAAUGGAGUCCAGAUUCUCUGAGGCUCCUGCAGUUCUUAUGUCUCACCUUCACCUACUUUCCUAAUGGCCACUCAUAGUUGUGCUACCUUCCAGAAGCAUGGCUUUAAAAUCCUUCAGGAAUUUCCAGACGGUCCAUUUCCAUCCUCUCCUGCCCACCCGCGUGCCUCAGCUGAAGUGAGUCUGCUUACCCCGGGCACUGAUAUGGACAAAGAGACCUAUUGAUGCAUCUCCAGGCUGUGGUGUGAGGUGGUGGAGCAGUGGCAGGAGCAGAUUUCUUCAAGAGCAGACUGAGACAUUGCUGGAGACUCCUUGUGGAAAGAGGCAAGAGCCAAAGGAACUCAGAAACUUGAGCUGUACUUGACCUUGAGUAAGUUACUUCUCUGAGCCUUGGUUUUCACAUCUGUAGAAUGACAAUAACAAUCCCUGUGUUCCUCACAGCCAAGAUCCUAUGAUGUCCUUUCUAAAUUGAGAACUGGGUCACAAGUGUCAAGAAUAGGCUCUUAUAGGUAGACUGUAUUUAGUCUCCCAUCUCGGACUGUGAGGACCUUGAAAUCAGGGCCCAUAUCAUGUUUCUAUUUCGACAUGAGCACAGUUUAUUGGAUGGAAUUAUGGUGCUGUUGGCCUGUGUCUGGUUGGCGUGUUUGUGGUAUGGAUUCACUCUACAUUCACUGCAUGUUUAUUUCACACAUGCUCUCCUUCAGGUCAAAUCUGGAGAAAGUGGGUGAUGGACCAGUACCACCCCAACUUCAUCACAUCCCAGAAAACCCAAGCCAAAAGCCCUUUAAUAACAUAUUGAUUGCUUAGAUUCAUUUUCCAAGAUAUUUUUUGAAAUAUCUAACACAAUUCUUUUUGCUUUUACUUUUGCUGUGACUCAAAUUCUUAUUCCUGAAAGAGUUUUCUUGCUUCCCCCCUUAUUCUUCCAAUAAUGUCAUUUUCAUCUUCGCUUGCCUCUAGGUUUUUAGUGUGCCCUGUGAAGUGUAUUCACUUGCUCAGACGGGUGUGGAGGAAGCGUAGGCCAGGAAACCCCAGCAACCUCCAGCUAAUGCACGGGAGGCUUCAGUUUGGUGAUUACUACAAUUGUUGCCUAGUGGAACCGUGAGCCAUUAGCUGGGUUCUCACCCCUCUAUUAGUAUCACCCUGUAAUUUAAUCACAAUUAGACUCCCAGAAACAUAGGCAUCAGAAACAAGUGGGCAAAGGAGGCAGAUGGCAGAAAGCAACAGCAGUCAGGGGUUUUAAUCAAAGGCAGUGUUUUCAGAAGGUGCAGGGCCAAGAAGGAGGGAGAUCGGAGCUUGGAACAGGGUAAUUGGGCAAUUGAUUAGGGGACUUCAAGUUUUACUUUCUGGCAUUGAGGCUGGGGUCUGCCAGACGUUAAUCUCAUGGGCUGGUUGAGCCAGGCUUAUUUAAUAGCAUUAGGGAUUGAAAGAGGUCUUGAGAGGUGACUCCACAUUCCCUUCACCUUCUCUCCUUGGGAUCUGUGGGAGGAAGGCCUCAGAGAACAUUCUCAGAAGAGGUUUUUCUUUGUCUCACCUGGCUUCCUCCCCUCAGGCCCCAAAGUGAGCCCUUGAGUAUGUGUUGGAAUCAACCUCCUUUCUGAGGGCUCACAGAAGCUUCAGGCCUGGAGAUGACCGUUCCACUGGCUCUGUGUCCUACUGAGACGUCCAGGAUCCAACCCUUCUACAAAUCCACUAAUGUAUUUAAUAACUGCACACCCUCACCGGUAUUAGGAGAAGUUUCUGGCACUCCAGAAGAUUCUUGAAGCCCCAGGCUCCUUUUCCGAAAGCCAAAGGCAAGACCUAGGUACAUAGGAAAUAGGACUUCUCCUUCCUCUGACUCUCUCAGCAUCAAAUUCUCCACAUCUCAUAGUUUUAAAAUAUAUGAACAUCCUGGGAAACCAGCACUCUCCUUCACUGCUGGCAGAAAUAUAACUGUUUUGAUCUUUCUGGAGGACAAUUUGGUACCAGGUAAGAAAUAUCUUUAAGAUAUCCAGGCCCUUUGACCAAAUAAUUCCAUUUCUUAGAAUCUGUUCUUAAGG
rnacentral:lncRNA from 1 species